rnacentral:misc_RNA from 1 species
AAAAAAAAAAAAAAAAAACCCAUAAAACAGCACUUAGAACAGUGAAGUUCCCUUCCCCUUCUUAUCUCCACCAAUCUCAAAAUGCUUGCAUCUCUGCAGAAAUAAUAAGCAAUAGACAUAUAUUACUUAAAGAGGUGAUAUAAAUGACCAAGGCAAAGUCCCCAAAAAAGAACAAAAAAACAGUUUUUCUAGGAGGCAAACCUUAAUUGGAUGCUGAGACACAUGCUUACAACCUUGACAUUGCAACCUCAGAACAAUCUUCUUAGUGGUUUUGGCCUGUUUAGAAAAACACACUAUCUAAUGAUCAAACCUGAUACCUUCCAACAUCUUUAUAGUGAUCACAGUGAUCCUAAAGCUAUUAUUUGGCUUUUCUGAUAUAUAAAUCAACCAUGUUCAAACAAGGGAAAAGUUGCAAAUGUUGGAUGUUAAAACUAUACCUUCUUGUGGAAAACAGGUUUUGUCUGCCCUCCAUAGCCUGAUUGCUUGCGAUCAUAUCGCCUUUUACCUUGUGCAGCAAGGCUGUCCUUCCCUUUCUUGUAUUGUGUGACCUUAUGCAAAGUGUGCUUUCGGCACUCCUUGCUCUUACAGUAUGUUUUCUUUGUCUUAGGAACGUUCACCAUUAUCGUUGUA